rnacentral:lncRNA from 1 species
AUGUGCUCUAACGAUGCAGUUAUAACCAGUCUGGCCCACCAGAAGUUCUGUGGAACUUCCAGUGAACUACCUACUCCCCUUCACUCACUGACACAGAACACAGACUGGAUUGAUUCUCACAGGUUAGUGGAUCCUGCCAUUGAUCUCAUCCCCAAAGUCACUGCAGUCACCUUCAGUUGUCACAGCAGCGUAUUUGUGAAAUAUCAUAUUAAUCAGCCUAUUGAAUGUGUUAGAAUUAGGAUGUAAUUACUGGCAAAUCUUUGGUGCAGUAAACAGUAAUGGUCUCUGCUUCUUCAUUAAAGGCUUUUAACGUUUGCUGAAAAAUAUACCAUUAUCUGUUAUGACAAUGGUCUCUGUAAACUUUUUUUUUUUUUUUUUUUUUUUCCAAACAGAAUGCUUUCUUAGUUUUAAGAACCAUUUUGAGCACAGGUAUUAUUAUUUUUUUUUUUUUUUUUUUUUUUUUUUUUCUGCCUCUUUUGGAGUUGAAUUUUCCUACAGUGAAGGAAAAAUCUCAGUGUCUACCUACUGCUGGAUUUCUAUUCUAGCAGCUGAAAGGAAGAAAUUAGUAGCCCCUUGAUUUUUCAACAGAAGUCAGUGGAAAAAAAAUAAAGAAGAAAGGAAGUUCUUCA